AACGAACGCUGGCGGCAUGCCUAACACAUGCAAGUCGAACGAGAUCCUUCGGGGUCUAGUGGCGCACGGGUGCGUAACGCGUGGGAAUCUGCCCUUAGGUUCGGAAUAACAGUUAGAAAUGACUGCUAAUACCGGAUGAUGACGUUAAGUCCAAAGAUUUAUCGCCUGAGGAUGAGCCCGCGUAGGAUUAGCUAGUUGGUGUGGUAAAGGCGCACCAAGGCGACGAUCCUUAGCUGGUCUGAGAGGAUGAUCAGCCACACUGGGACUGAGACACGGCCCAGACUCCUACGGGAGGCAGCAGUGGGGAAUAUUGGACAAUGGGCGCAAGCCUGAUCCAGCAAUGCCGCGGGAGUGAUGAAGGCCUUAGGGUUGUAAAGCUCUUUUACCCGAGAUGAUAAUGACAGUAUCGGGAGAAUAAGCCCCGGCUAACUCCGU
rnacentral:rRNA from 1 species